UACGAAGGGGGCUAGCGUUGUUCGGAUUUACUGGGCGUAAAGCGCGCGUAGGCGGCUCGUUAAGUCGGGGGUGAAAUCCUGGAGCUCAACUCCAGAACUGCCUUCGAUACUGGCGAUCUUGAGUCCGGAAGAGGUGAGUGGAACUCCUAGUGUAGAGGUGGAAUUCGUAGAUAUUAGGAAGAACACCAGUGGCGAAGGCGGCUCACUGGUCCGGUACUGACGCUGAGGUGCGAAAGCGUGGGGAGCAAACAGG
rnacentral:rRNA from 1 species